rnacentral:tRNA from 11 species
GGUGGCCUAGUGGUUCAAACAUCCAACUGGUAACCCAGGGGAUGCGGGUUCGAAUCCC